GCAGGAACAAGCUCAGUUGGUUCGAGCGUGGUGCUGAUAAUGCUAAGGUUGCAGGUUCGAUUCCCUGGUAUGGGACAACUGCA